UCUUUCUCGAGGGGGCCCCGGUGGCGGAGCCAUUCAGCAGCGCUGGCCAUAAAUGACCGUGUGGAACACCACGUUUAGCACUGCAUUCUGAACAAAACAGCACAAGCUCUGGAGCACAGCCAAAAUGCCAGGAACGAAAGGUAACAAGUCGGACAAGAAGUCAACUACCAAGCAACCUCAGAGUCCUAAAGAGCAGCCGAAGAAAGGUGAUCAGAAAGGAGAUGACAACAAGAAGCAAGGAGGACAGCCGAAGGGAGAGAAGCAGUAACUUCCAGGCAUUUGUGAAGAUGGCAUUGGAGACGCUGCUGGGCUCCUGCCGUCGCAAACAUGGGGGUCCUCGGGGCAGGCAGGGCUAAGCUGAGAUACCCCCACGAGCCUGCCAACCGGGUUGUUGGGUGGCCUUCCAACAAGAUAUUUGUUCAUCUCUCAGAGAGAAGAAAAAUCAAACUGAUCUCUAUUCACUGCCAGCUCUCUCUAGCUUUGCCCCGUUCCCACCGUUAUCUGUGCCCACACUUUCCAGCCGGCAUGCUGGAUGCUUGAACUCGAGUUAAAAGGAGAAAAAAAAAAAAAAAACUACAACAAUAAGUCAUUGCUUAGAACACAAGCCGUUUGUUACUCCUUCCCAAUGGAACCUCUGAGUAUUGACUGUUUAACAGUCCAUACAUUUUUCUUGUAAAUAAUUAUUCAAAUAAACAACUAUUUCUUA